rnacentral:tRNA from 2 species
UCCCGUGUGACGCAAUUGGUUAGCGUGUCAGACUUUUAAUACUGAUUGAAAUCUGAAAGUUACGGGUUCGAGUCCCGUCAUGGGAG